rnacentral:rRNA from 1 species
UGGGGAAUAUUGCACAAUGGGCGCAAGCCUGAUGCAGCCAUGCCGCGUGUGUGAAGAAGGCCUCGGGUUGUAAAGCACUUUGUCCGGAAAGAAAUCCUUGGCUCUAAUACAGUCAGGGGAUGACGGUACCGGAAGAAUAAGCACCGGCUAACUACGUGCCAGCAGCCGCGGUAAUACGUAGGGUGCAAGCGUUAAUCGGAAUUACUGGGCGUAAAGCGUGCGCAGGCGGUUUGCUAAGACCGAUGUGAAAUCCCCGGGCUCAACCUGGGAACUGCAUUGGUGACUGGCAGGCUAGAGUAUGGCAGAGGGGGGCUAGAAUUCCACGUGUAGCAGUGAAAUGCGUAGAGAUGUGGAGGAAUACCGAUGGCGAAGGCAGACCCCCUGGGCCAAUACUGACGCUCAUGCACGAAAGCGUGGGGAGCAAACAGGAUUAGAUACCCUGGUAGUCCACGCCCUAAACGAUGUCAACUAAGUUGUUGGGGAUUCAUUUCCUUAGUAACGUAGCUAACGCGUGAAGUUGACCGCCUGGGGAGUACGGUCGCAAGAUUAAAACUCAAA